rnacentral:tRNA from 1 species
GGGCGAGUAGUUCAACGGUAGAACGCCGCCCUUGCAAGGCGGAGGCUCGGGGUUCAAAUCCCCGCUCGUCCA